UCUUGGAAUAAAUAUUAGCAUGAGGAUGUAGAAGUUUCCUCACAGCUCAAAAUUGUUGUCAGGGCUCUUAAUUUGUUGGAAGCCACUGUUCCACGGCACGCUCUUCUGAUGCCUAAAUUCAGGCCUGUAAAUAGUCUAUGUUAUAACAUACUAUAUGUAAACUAAUCCUCUGUGUAAAAGACCUGUUUUAUACAAAGUUAUAAAAUUUUUGCUAAAGUCGUAGUUAUUGUAUACAUAUAAUGGAAUUUCUGAUGUUUGAGCACUUAAAAUUGGUAACAAUAGUUUGCAACAUAAAUCUGGUGAAAGUAUGGCAAAAAUGGGUUCACUGACCGAAAUUCUCAAGCCUGGGUAUUAACAGCUGUGUCAGUUUUUUAUAGCUUUUAUAUCCUUGCAGUUCUGUAAACCAAAAGGAAACUACUUCGUUUCUUCUAUAAUAUUUAACCAUUCAAAUUAAACUAAGCUCGCUUCAGCAAUGAAAUUCAAUAAUUAGAAAAAAAAAAGACUAAAAAUUUGUAUGGGCUCAACUUAAUAUUAAAUUAAAUAUAACAAUUUACAAGUACUAAAGAGAAUCGUUAAAGAGUAUAAAAAUUAUAUAAAAGUAUACAAAAAGUGUUUGAAAAAAGAUACGACUCCAUAAAUUACGGUAAAUUCAUACUUCAUUUUUAUAAAUGGAUAUAUAACUAUGUAUUAUAUAUUAUUAUGUAUACUAAUAAAAAUAAACUGUUGAUUUAAAAGCUUUCAUUUGAAUUCCAACUAAAUAAAGGUUGAUAACUGUUUCUAAAUUGCUUGAACGCAAUAAGCAAAUUUUACUUAUAAACCGAUCACUAAGAAAAAACGUUACUUACAAUUAUCGUUAAUGUAAAUUGCUUUUAACUAAAAUACUUUAUAGCUUUAUUAAAUAAUUUGUUUCGCUGCUGGUAUACGUAAACACUGCACGAGUGGAAUAAGUUUAUUGACCAACAUAAUUAUCUUUGUAACAAAACUUGAAGCAAAUAUUAACCUCUUAAUUUUUGAUAAAUUUUGUGCUUGCAACAUGCCUGCAAUAUGCCAGCAACUAAUCUUAUUCACAAAGUUGUUGCACAUACGCGUCUCUUUUUAAAUCGGUGACAAUUUGAACUAUUAAUCUUCUAUCACCAUAACAAAGUUCAGAAAUAGCGUUUCUUCGCUGAAAUUGUCUAUCAACAAUGUCGGAUGUAAAAGCUUUAGAUGACUUGGAUUGCUCAAUUUCAUGUUCAAAUUCUUCAAUGCUGCUCUUUUCUUUUGCUUCUUCUAACGUCGUGUAAUUUACCUUUUUACUAAAAGGAGAAUGAACAUGUUUUUUUUUUUUCUUUUCUUGUAACACGACUGCAUGAAUUGAAUUUUCAAUAAUAUUAUUAAAAGUCAUUUUAAAUUUUGUGUCAACUAAUUUUUGACAACCAAGUACGCUCGUGUUUAAAAAUGUGGAAACUUGAAAAUAUCGAUAAAAACUGCUCUAAUUAAAGGAUUAGCUCUUUACUUUAAGCCGCACAUAAUCUUUUUUUUUUUUUUUUUUUUU